UACGGAGGGUGCGAGCGUUGUCCGGAAUCACUGGGCGUAAAGGGCGCGUAGGCGGCAUGCCAAGCGUGUGGUGAAAGCCCGGGGCUCAACCCCGGGUCGGCCGUGCGAACUGUCGAGCUGGAGCACUGUAGAGGCAGGUGGAAUUCCGGGUGUAGCGGUGGAAUGCGUAGAGAUCCGGAAGAACACCGGUGGCGAAGGCGGCCUGCUGGGCAGUGGCUGACGCUGAGGCGCGACAGCGUGGGGAGCAAACAGG
rnacentral:rRNA from 1 species